rnacentral:misc_RNA from 1 species
GAUGAAGAACGUAGCGAAAUGCGAUAAGUAAUGUGAAUUGCAGAAUUCAGUGAAUCAUCGAGUCUUUGAACGCACAUUGCGCCCCCUGGUAUUCCGGGGGGCAUGCCUGUCCGAGCGUCAUUGCCGCCCUCAAGCACGGCUUGUGUGUUGGGCCCCCGCCCCCCGGCUUCGGGGGGCGGGCCCGAAAGGCAGCGGCGGCACCGCGUCCGGUCCUCGAGCGUAUGGGGCUUCGUCACCCGCUCUGUAGGCCCGGCCGGCGCCCGCCGGCGACCCCAAUCAAUCUUUCCAGGUUGACCUCGGAUCAGGUAGGGAUACCCGCUGAACUUAAGCAUAUCAAUAAGGGAGGA